AUUGAACGCUGGCGGCAUGCCUUACACAUGCAAGUCGAACGGUAACGCGGGGCAACCUGGCGACGAGUGGCGAACGGGUGAGUAAUGUAUCGGAACGUGCCCAGUUGUGGGGGAUAACUGCUCGAAAGAGCAGCUAAUACCGCAUACGACCUGAGGGUGAAAGCGGGGGAUCGCAAGACCUCGCGCAAUUGGAGCGGCCGAUAUCAGAUUAGGUAGUUGGUGGGGUAAAGGCUCACCAAGCCGACGAUCUGUAGCUGGUCUGAGAGGACGACCAGCCACACUGGGACUGAGACACGGCCCAGACUCCUACGGGAGGCAGCAGUGGGGAAUUUUGGACAAUGGACGCAAGUCUGAUCCAGCCAUGCCGCGUGCGGGAAGAAGGCCUUCGGGCUGUAAACCGCUUUUGUCAGGGAAGAAAAGGCUCCUUCUAAUAUAGGGGGCUCAUGACGGUACCUGAAGAAUAAGCACCGGCUAACUACGUGCCAGCCGCCGCAGUAAGAC
rnacentral:rRNA from 1 species